UGUUCACCUAAAGAAAUUCCUUUUGGAGUUUCUUUCUUUUUUUAUUCUUCCUUUCUUUUUGGGUUACUUAUGUACUGUUUGGAGCCACUGGCCCACAUUAGGUUAAUUAGGUCAUUAGUCUACAUAGAGCAAUCACCAUCCUGAUGGCUGUAUGUUCUGUCCUCUCCACACAGGUGCAGUGAGCAACUCCGGAGACUCACUGUGUGGCUCGGUCUGUCUUUGAGCUUGUGGUGAGUCCCCUGCCUCAAGUCUCCUGAGUGCUGAGAUUACAGGCAUGAGCUAGUGUUUAAACUGAUGAUGUGGCUUCUCCGUGGUAUAGUAAAGAAGCUUUUACUGCAGAUGUGAAACAGAAUGAACAGAAGUAUCUGGAAGUGUUCAGAGCAGGGAGAGAAAGAAGCAGGUUCUCCUUCCUGAUGACUAUGCUUUCAAAUAUAUGAACCUAUUGGAGCCAUUCUUAUUCAGAUCACCACACCUACAAAAAAAAAAAAAAGAGCAAUGUGUAUUUCCAGCAAACAAAAAAUAAAGUUGUAUUUAUAACAA